rnacentral:rRNA from 1 species
AGAGUUUGAUCAUGGCUCAGGACGAACGCUGGCGGCGCGCCUAACACAUGCAAGUCGAACGGAGAUUACAGGCGGAAGUUUUCGGAUGGAAGCUUGUAAACUUAGUGGCGGACGGGUGAGUAACACGUGAGCAACCUGCCUAUCAGAGGGGGAUAACGAUUGGAAACGAUCGCUAAUACCGCAUGACAUAGCGGAACCGCAUGGUUUUGUUAUCAAAGAUUUUAUCGCUGAUAGAUGGGCUCGCGUCCGAUUAGAUAGUUGGUGGGGUAACGGCCUACCAAGUCGACGAUCGGUAGCCGGACUGAGAGGUCGAACGGCCACAUUGGGACUGAGACACGGCCCAGACUCCUACGGGAGGCAGCAGUGGGGGAUAUUGCACAAUGGGGGAAACCCUGAUGCAGCGACGCCGCGUGAGGGAAGACGGUCCUCUGGAUUGUAAACCUCUGUCUUCGGGGACGAAACGAGACGGUACCCGAGGAGGAAGCCACGGCUAACUACGUGCCAGCAGCCGCGGUAAUACGUAGGUGGCAAGCGUUGUCCGGAAUUACUGGGGUGUAAAGGGAGCGUAGGCGGGCAGGCAAG